rnacentral:rRNA from 1 species
UACGUAGGGGGCUAGCGUUGUCCGGAUUUAUUGGGCGUAAAGAGCGUGUAGGCGGCCGCCUAAGUCAGACGUGAAAUCCCUCGGCUCAACCGGGGAACUGCGUCUGAUACUGGGUGGCUUGAAUCCGGGAGAGGGAUGCGGAAUUCCAGGUGUAGCGGUGAAAUGCGUAGAUAUCUGGAGGAACACCGGUGGCGAAGGCGGCAUCCUGGACCGGCAUUGACGCUGAGGCGCGAAAGCCAGGGGAGCAAACGGG